rnacentral:tRNA from 2 species
GGACCCGUAGUUCAGCUGGAUAGAAUGUUGCCCUCCGAAGGCAAAGAUCGUUGGUUCGAAUCCAAUCGGGUCCGCCA